UUUAUUUUUAGAUCAACCCGGUGGAAUACAAGCUUAUUGUUGGCAUCGUCAAUGAGCAUAAUCAUUGGAAGCUGGCGGUAAAGAAAUGUUUUAAUGCCACAAGAGGGAGUAACAUUACAGCAAAAAAUAUAUAGUUAUGUGCAAAAUGUUUAAUAAUUCAUGCAUAUGAGUAAUAAAACCUCAUAUUUUGUGUUUAAAAUAUAGGCAAUCAUGCCAGGAGAAAAAAGGUUCUUACUACUUGAUCCUCUUGGUGAGUCUCAAAUGGACAUUGAAAAAUGCCUGGAAUCAACCCGGGCGUUCAUGCGCAAGAAAGGGUGCAAUGUUUCCAGGUGGACUUGUGGCACUGUCCCCCAUCCCAGGCAACAAGAUUCAACCUCUUGUGGUGUCUUUGCUUUGAAAGUAUGCAUUUGAUUUACAGACAAUAUUUACCAAACUCAUAUUACUCAAGUAUGCAAAAACUUAAUCAAACAUUACUCAAAAC